GAGCUCGUAGCUCAGCGGCAGAGCAACAGCCUUUUAAGCUGAUGGUCGUGGGUUCGAUCCCCACCGGGCUCA
rnacentral:tRNA from 1 species